AACUUCUAAAAAAGGGGUGCUGCAGAUGGUGAAGUCUUAAAUUACCACGGUGAGCUUUGCCGGAGGGCGUCUCUGGUCCCCUUAGAUGGAGCCCGUCUGCAGCUGAUUCACAGAAGGUCACGUUUGCCUGUCCUGCCCUACUCCUGAGCUUACUCAUGUAGUCAGCGCGGCUGACAGGGAUGAAAGAGCGGAACUGCUUGAACACAUUUGAUAUGGCUCUAGACAGGCAGACUGAUUUGCAAACUCAAAGCACAGGAGAGACUGAGAGCGAUUGCAGCGGAUUACUAAUUAGCUCGGAAACACAGAGGCGAGGCGUGAGGGAGGAACGUGGCUGCAGCUGAGUGGUGCAUCCCCGAGUCCAGCAAUUCCACUGAGGAGCAGCAGCAUCACAACCGCAAGCAGAGCUCCAGAUGGCAGCUAUAUGAGGAUCUAUGAAAUGCCUUAUCAUUCAUCAAAAAACGUGAAGAGUAGAGCUGAGGUCCCUGAAUGCCUUACAGAUGCUCACAGAACUCAGCAAGCCAUCUUUCAUCAAAGCCAUGGGCUGCUUUAGAGAUUAAGAUUUUUCUUUGAAAAAUCAAGCCAUCAUCGUCAUAGAAAGGUCAAUCUGAAAAGGAACAAACAGCGAGAACAGAGCAAAAGACUGUAGCUGGGAAACAGCCAGAGUAAGUGAUACAGUUCCUAGGAGAAUCCAGUGUGGUAUGUUUCUUAUCUACUGUUUAUCAGUCUGUCUGAAGUAUGUACAUUUUAUCAACAUCAUACAAUCCCAGCUGGUAUAUAUUAAAAAUGCAGCCUGAUGUCAUUAAGGUAUGUUGUCUUUUAUAGAACCAAAAGGGAAUUAGACUUGUAAAUAAUAGCUAAAUCCAACAGCACACUUCACUGGCAUACUGUAAGGUAGCAUAUAAUACUCUUUAAGUACAUGCAUACAAUUUUUCAGCUUGCCUGUCUUAUGGAUGGUGCCUCACUGCACUGAACUUGGCACAUAUUUCUCCUUCCAGGGUUAGUCAAUGUAAUUUCCCACUCAGUCUAAGUAAUGCAUUUAAAGAGAUGUAAUUAUUCCUGUAGUAAAAGAUGUUACUGAAAACAUACCUGGUAUUUCAUUACCAUAAUCAAGAUGAGAUGACCCAGUCAAAACCUCCCUAAACUCUAAUUAGCUCAUCACUUUGCUGAGUGGUUUCAUCCCUUCUUGUGCUAUUAUCAACAAGUUUUUAUGAAGCAGAGAUCAGAACUACCAUGUCACUCACACUGUAUUGCUGCAUGACCCUGAUCUAAACUUGAAUCCUUCAUAGUCUCAUUGACUUCUCUGUAUAUUUGUAGGUCAUAAUCAGAUUACUCUAAUAUGUUGUACUGAAUACCUUCUUCCAGACUGCAAUCCCAAGUAACUAUUCUGCCAAGUCACUUCAAACAGCCACACAGAGUGUUUGUUCUCAAGCAUUUAUAAUUUACACUUUCUGGCUGUUAGAAUUUUGUGUUGGAAAACUCCCUCCAAACCUAUCUCUACUGUCUACAUCAAUUCAUUUCACCACCUUUAGGAGCAAGGGAUCUUUGGAGGUCCAAAAAUUUUUAGAGCAGUUAUUUUUUUUGCUUUAUGUUUUAUUUACAGAUAAUCCAUCUUAGUCAAUGCUGUUUACUAUCAGAUUUUCUUUUUUAAACGCUUAUUUUCAGCAUCUCUACUGGGGUCACCGGUAAGGACAACACUGCCCCUGUCCACACUGUCAAGUAACUGUUUGCUAAGAACAACCCAUUACUGACCUUUUAAAGUAGUAUACUCUUUGAAACAUGGCUGGGAAUGCAUUUUUGAUGCUUAAUUCUGAAAUGCCCCCAAAAGAUACUCUAGAAGUAGGUCUGUUAGUACUCAGCUGCAGAGACUGACAAGGAGAAAACAGUUCAUUAUCACACAGCAGUAGCAACUCUGUUAAAUUAUGACCCUUACCUGUGUAUUUCUCAACAGGAUGUGUGGUGUCAGAAUUUGUGUGAUGGUCAAACAACAGCCUUCAAAGGAGUAGCCUAGCAGUACUGUGAGGCAGGUUUGUUAACAGCGUCAGGAGCUGAGCGUGCUGUGAUGCCUGGGGUACUGCUCAAGGCUAGAGGUGGCAGGGAAGAGGAAAUGUGAAACUCGCAAAUAUCUUUCUGUCCUAUUUGGCUGAUAAAGGUACCUGUCUACUUUCUAUCAUUUGCUGCCUUUCAGAAGACUUGCAUGUUACUGUUUCUCAGCCAGCAGCCCAGUCAGCAGGUAUUUCAGAAUAACAGAAAUUAUUUCAGCUAACUGGAGAAAUACAUACUUCUAUGCACCAGGUAACUUCAAAGACAAUUCUGUCAAUAGGGACAGCGUAUUUCCAGCGAGUCUGAGACAUUUAAAAGUAGUAGGGCUGCAGAGUUCAUUCCAACUGGAAGCUCAGGAAGCACAACAUAAGUAGCACGUUGCCAGCCCGUCAGCUGAAGCAUGGUGAUGUGCCUGUGCUUGUGGAAUGGCUGAUAUUUUCAUAGCAGAAAUGACUGACAGAGCAACGCUGUCCACAGCUCCAGGCUGCACUGCUACAGGAUGAGUUUCGAUGGCUUGAACUACUGCUGAAAUCCCUUUCUCUGUUCUAUCAAGAAAGACACUGAUCUGAAUUUAGCUAACAGUUUUUAGGCCACACUUAUACUGCACUCAGAGAGGAUCGAUUGAUUUAUUUAUAGCAGUAGUUCAAAAUUUUUGGAGUUGGAAAUUUCCUUGUCUUUCUCAUAACAAAUCAACAUCAAUACAAAUGCUAAGAGAACAUCAUCAAAAGAAAAGAAAAAAAGAAAAAAGAAAAAACUUGAAGCUAGACUCUUAGAUAGAUUUUACUUUCCAAUUGUAUGUUAUAAAUGUCCAAAACAGGUUGGAGAGAACUCCUCUACGCCUAGGUAAGUAAUAGGUGAAUUACACAGUAGUAGAUAUAUUUAAGGUUUGAAGACUAUCUGCUCUGGAACAUCCCUAACUACAGUGAAAUGCACAGAUAAUUACUUUCACAGUUUAGGGUGAGAAAUAAAAGAAAGGAAAAACUUCCUUCCGGCUAAAAUUGGUAAGGGGCAUAGUCAGAUAAACAAAAUAAAAACUUAACAGCACUCUUGGCCAGGACACCAGGCCUAUUGAUUAUGCAGCUGUGAACAUGCAAAGCCAGAGCUUCAGAAAGAGAUUUUUAAAACCACAGACCAAAGGUAACAGGCUCCAAAGUGCUAGCCCCUACACGCUCUAUACAGGACAGUUAUUUAGGGCAAACCCAGGUGCAUAACUGUGAAGGACGCAUACCUUGAACUUUCUUCCAGUACUGUUCUCAUAUCCCCCUCUGUUUUUGCCCUCAGAGAGAUUUAUAUUCCUUCAGCUUAAGUGGCACUUGAGUGUAGAGUGGAGGAGCUGGUAGCUGAUAUGGCCAUGAACAAGACAGGUGGUGACUUUAGAAGGAGGCUCGCUCUCCACUGUCCAUGGGCUUGGGGCAGGAGAAUUAGGCUAAUCUUGUACAACCUCUACUCCUUUCAUUUCUUACACAGAUUCAUUCACCUUUUAUCUUGCAUGAAAUGCAGGGGAUGCUCUUGGAAUACCAGGGCAGCCAUUGAACAGUAUCAAAGAACCAAGAGGCAUACCCUGCAAUACCAACCAGCUUUGACAAUGGGGAGAAGGGACUACUCCACAUCUAUAAAUAUUUAGGAUUAUUCAUCAAUUCUUUUCAUUUUGCAGGUCCUUUUCUUCUGCGUUCUCAUAGCUUAAUGCCUCCACUGGACUGCUUCCGAAGGAGCAGUCUUUCUGCAGGUGCAGUGUUGUAACAGCUGUGAAACAUUAGUCACCGUUUUAUCAGUGUUAAAACGUUCAAGACAAUGCUUCUAAGAGCACUAUCACUCAACAUACUAUCUAGUAAUUCUAUUGCAACAAGUCAGAAGAUUGAAUAAAACCUUCCAUUCAUGUUGCUCAUCUUGUUCUGUACCCGUGACUGGAGAUCAGCAAGUCUGAGUAAACCCCUUCCAGCUGUAAGCUCUGUGUGUUUAUACUGCAACAGUUCAGUAAAUCCAUUCAGCUUCCAGUAAGAAAUGUCUUUGUUUAUGGCUCUUUUACGAUACUCCCAAUCACCGUCAAAGGAUUCUACAGAAAUAUUUUUAAAAGAUUCAGUUCUGACUUAAUCAAUGCCAUUGUAGAUCAGGAAUAACUCCAUUAAGCUGAUAUGAUGUAAAAUCUAGUUUAUAUUUGCAUGCAGCAGUGAUGUGAGCCUUCUGAAAACUUAGGAGUUCAGAUACACUUAUGGCAAGUCCUGUGUAUGAUAAUUUACUUAAUGAACAUACUGAUGCCCAUGUUAUCUCAACUAAAUUGAGUAGUUGAGACUAAACUCUGAACCCCCUGAAAUCUUGACAAGUAUUGCCAUAGAUAUAGCUGACUCAGGAUUUCACAGAAUACAUAUUUAUUAGGGACUGCUGUUAAGAGAAUUCUCCCGUGUUUUAAAUCACUCUGCAGUGGUGAAUAAUUAAUACUCAGAAAAAGUUCAAUAUUUCUUUCUGCAAGUAGGCCAAGCCACCAGCCUACUGGAUUUGAAGAUGCAGCUCAAAUAUGCAUAAUCUCCUAUUUCAACAGUAUCGCCUGCACUUGCAGCAGAGCACUGCACACUCACUCUCUCUUCCUUGCCUCCGUAGUUUCUUUACUGUGGAAAAGAGUUUACACCUAACAAUGACAUUAAAACAGGAGUUAGUUACUGUACGUGUUUGCACGCCAGAAGCAGCUGCUGUCAGUAUGAAAGGGGAAAGGAAGUGAGGAGAUCCUGCACUGCUCUGGAAAAUACAGGUGCUGAGAGGAAACUUUUAUCCAGAAGAGUUUGUCAAAGAUAAGGGCAUAGGAAAGGAGAAAAGCGAUGAAGAACACUUCAGAGAUAAAAACAUUAGCUCCAGCCCAAUCUCCAGUAAAUAAAUUUACAUCUCUAACUGCUGCUUAUGACUAUCCAGAGAGAGGUACCACGUGAAUGGGAGGAGAGCAGAGCUAACCUCACCUCUGUGACUGUGAGCAGAGGUCCAGGAACAAGUCUGGUUUCCUAGACAGAAAGGCCCUUUGCAACGUGGUGAACUGCCCUCACAAUGCUACUAACAGUGGCAUUUACUCUUCAUGGUAAAUAUUUUACAAUUAAAAAAAAAAGUUGUAAUACAAGUAAAAUUGGAAACCCAGUAGAGAGAGAAGCAAAGUGAGUCUAUGAUGUAGUUCAGUUUGUGUUCACAGCAUUAAACUAAAGUUAAAACUGUACAGGGAACAGUAACUGACAUAACUAUAUUUUGUAAUUAUUAGAUACGUCAGCAUAUUGACUACAUGAGCCUCAAGUGUACUCAGCUUGCCCUGGCUAUUUGGAGUUCACUGCUACUUAACUUGCAGAUUCAAUAAGAAAAAGAUGUUUCUUUCUGAAGCAGGUGAUAAAGCUCCAGUAAAUUUAGAUCAUUCUGUAGAUAAGGUGAGAGUAAACUCCAGAGGAAAAAAAAAAAAUGAGCAAAGUAUAAAGCUAAACUUGGCUCCGAGUUCUGCACUGAGCUGUGCUGCACUGGGAGCUCAGCACAAUCACAGAAUUGUAUUUUGCUCCAGGUAAAUAAUAGCCAGUAUCUAAAAAAAUUUAAAAGCCAUUAUUCAGAGGCAAGUAAUGAUUGUCUUCAUAAAACACUGCUCAUUUGGUGUAGCUAUAUUCUGUGCUGGAUCUAUCUUCUGAAAUCUUUACCCAGACCCCUCACACCUUUACCUGUCAAUGAAGUAAUUUAGCAAGUAUCAACUUAAAGCUUGGCAGAUCCCUCAGAUCCCAGCUCAGAUCUGCCCAGACCUUGACUCUUGCUCGGUACCUAUCUCUGCCUCUGCUGGAAGAAGCCCCAAAGUCUUCCUUACUGUGUCAUCCAGGUAAAUAAGGGCUCACUCCACAUACACAGCUGUGGUGUCCACUGCUAGCAAGAUGAGCAUGUAGCACAAUGAACCUGGAAUCACAGAAAUGCCUGUCAGAUAAUGCAUGUUUUGGGUAAUGCAUGGGGACACAGGGAGAGAAGAAAAAGCACACAUACUCUAUACCUUGGAAAUUCUGCUAUAAAAUCCUAAUCCUUAUCCUUUAUAAGGAUAAAAUCCUAUCCUUAUCUUCCCCAUACAGCGGGAAGUUCUGCUCAGUUUGGUAGUAGAAGAAAUAACCAAUGACUAGUGCAAAUAGUCAUGAGAGCAUAAAAAUGCAUUUUAAUAGUAGUCUAAAUAUGAACAGACAUAUUUGGAUGUUACUUCACACACUCCCACAGAAGUCACUCUGUCUUAAUCAUAAUACUAAGAAUGCAUCCAUGCUGCAGUAAGACCAAGGAUGUUCAAAUACAAAGCAAGAAGAGGAGGGUCCCACUGCCCCAAAUCCAUUUUGCUAUAAAGGGACUUCCACGAACACAUAUCUCCUACAAUUUGGAGACAUCAGGAACAUCUGAGAAGUAUAACGCAGUAAGUUAAGCCAACAAGCCUCCUUUUCCUUAAAUUCCUUAUUUUUAAUAUAAAAUUGCUAUUUUUCCCCCUUAUUCUGCAACCUGAUUUUGCUACAAUCCAGGCCAAAUUCCAGUUUGAAGAAUUCCUGUUUGUCUGAUUUCUUCCUCCAAAAUCUGGAACAGCUGCAGAGUUUUACCUGACAGCUGCCUACAUCUGAGAAGGUAUCUCAAAGGGAUAUUGUAAGCAAAUUAUUUUGGUAAAGAAAUAAAGCAUCAGGAAAAACAACAUAGCUUUUAUUUUGCAAUGUAUGCAAGUACUGCUUUCCUAAGCUUAAUUUAAUCCAGUUUAUAUGGUACUGAUCACAGUUACCAUAGGACCUGACAACUCUUUUCUAUUUUAUGGUUUUAUUUUAGUGGAUCUCAACUCUACCAGCAGCCUAUAACACCACAGCAAGUGACCUCCAAGGGGUCUACUGAGCCUCAUUGAGCAAUGAAAACAUGAUGACCUUGAUCAAAUAUCUCAGCUGUGGUGAACAUCAAAUAACAGAAAUUGCAAAGGUUGACAAUUAUUUGAGGGACAAAAAGUCUGGAGAUUUUGUAUCAGUAGAAUUCUAACGGCUUCAACAGAAUGCUCUUGAUUUAAGUUGGAAUAAUUGAAAAAUUAAUCACAUCUACAUAUCACCAGAAGAAAGGAGAAAUAAACCAUCUUGGAAUUUGUAGUUCACUAUAAUCUGAAGUAGAGAAGUCCUUGGAGAAAUCCAGUCUAAAACAAUGCCAAACCUCAGCACCGUAUUAGGAAACAAAUAUCUUUACGCUACAGACCAGUUGUUAUUCCAGAGUUGCUUCCUGGCUGAAGCACAACAUGCU
ensembl:lncRNA